GCGGGAGCUGUCGGGGCGGGGCGGCACCGCCGAGCUCCGAGCUGUGAGGACCGCCCCGGGCCUUGGGCGGGGCGGGGGCCAGGGAAGGGCGUGCGCAGGAUUGGGGAGCACGUUUUGCGUCUUGCUGUGCGUGAGGAAGCGGGGAUCCAGGUCAAGGCUAUGGAAAGGUCAGGGAAGGGUGUCAGUGCGCCCGUCCUGCAGGGAGUCCAGAUCCGAGAGGCAGGACUUUGAAAUGACCCUGUCCUCAGCCUGGAGGAUGCGGUAUUCUGAUUGUCUGGUGCUGUGUCAACUGGGCCUGCCUCUGGGAUAGUGUUGUGGCUGCCCCACGAGAACCCUAUAUGCCAGUUCCAGAAGCAAAAACAAAAAAAGUUCGGGUACAGCGGCUCACACCUGUAAUCCCAGCUCUUAGGGAGAUGGAAACUGGAGGAUCACUUGAGGCCAGGAGUUCAAGACCAGCCUGGGCAACAUAGCAAGACCCAGUCUCUUAAAAGAAAAUUAAAAAGAAAGAGUAAAUAAAGUUCCAGAAGCUUUGCUCUCCUUAUCCAAGCAGCGUUUGUACUUUGGCACUGGAAAGUGCGGGAGUCAGGGGUUUGUGAGA
rnacentral:lncRNA from 10 species